rnacentral:rRNA from 1 species
GACGAACGCUGGCGGCGCGCCUAACACAUGCAAGUCGAACGAGCGAGAGAGAGCUUGCUUUCUCGAGCGAGUGGCGAACGGGUGAGUAACGCGUGAGGAACCUGCCUCAAAGAGGGGGACAACAGUUGGAAACGACUGCUAAUACCGCAUAAGCCCACGGCUCGGCAUCGAGCAGGGGGAAAAGGAGCAAUCCGCUUUGAGAUGGCCUCGCGUCCGAUUAGCUAGUUGGUGAGGUAACGGCCCACCAAGGCGACGAUCGGUAGCCGGACUGAGAGGUUGAACCGCCACAUUGGGACUGCGACACGGCCCAGACUCCUACGGGAGGCAGCAGUGGGGAAUAUUGCACAAUGGGGGAAACCCUGAUGCAGCGACGCCGCGUGGAGGAAGAAGGUCUUAGGAUUGUAAACUCCUGUUGUUGGGGAAGAUAAUGACGGUACCCAACAAGGAAGUGACGGCUAACUACGUG